rnacentral:rRNA from 1 species
GAUGAACGCUGGCGGCGUGCCUAAUACAUGCAAGUCGAGCGAACGGACGAGAAGCUUGCUUCUCUGAUGUUAGCGGCGGACGGGUGAGUAACACGUGGAUAACCUACCUAUAAGACUGGGAUAACUUCGGGAAACCGUAGCUAAUACCGGAUAAUAUUUUGAACCGCAUGGUUCAAAAGUGAAAGACGGUCUUGCUGUCACUUAUAGAUGGAUCCGCGCUGCAUUAGCUAGUUGGUAAGGUAACGGCUUACCAAGGCAACGAUGCAUAGCCGACCUGAGAGGGUGAUCGGACACACGGGAACUGAGACGCGGUCCAGACUCCUACGGGAGGCAGCAGUAGGGAAUCUUCCGCAAUGGGCGAAAGCCUGACGGAGCAACGCCGCGUGAGUGAUGAAGGGCUUCGGAUCGUAAAACUCUGUUAUUAGGGAAGAACAUAUGUGUAAGUAACUGUGCACAUCUUGACGGUACCUAAUCAGAAAGCCACGGCUAACUACGUG